UGUACCUCCCAGUUAGGACCACGGAUGUUUAUAAUGUUGGGGGGUGGGACACAUCAGAUUCUAGAGAGCAUUUGAUUCGCCAGAAAAUGUGCUGAGAAGCUGAAGUGCAGAAUGAUGUCAUCAGAAUUGCCGGUAGAGAGAGGCUGUAGAUUUUGAACGUGUGUAUCUUCUAAAUGUGCAUUUUGUCAUUGUUUAAGAGCACACUGGCUUAUAGAUAACCUUAAGGAGAACAUAUUCGUACAAAAAGCCACAAAACUUCCAUUGUGACUUCAUGGGGACUUUAAAAUAAGUGAUGCGGCGAAGUUUUCUGCAACUUUUAACGUUUACGGAGUCUCCAGUGUCGGGGCUUUGUGACCGUCAGCGGUAAAGCUGUGACUUUAAAACUAUGAUGUGUCUUCUUUAAUACAUCAUAAACUGUAUUCUGUGGUGUAAGAGGAAUAAAACACGUUUAACAGUCAGUAACGGGAGCGUCAUCACUCCACCCUGUUGUUGAUUAGUUUCCUAUGACGGCACAACACACACAGAGUAAUGGAGUGAGUGCGAGACAGCACGUUCCCUGGCUGAUUGGCUGAAACGUUUGCAGCUACAAGGUGUCCGGCUCAGAGCAUCACGUCUUUGUGAUGUCUUCAGGAUGACCAGUUUGGUGUUAGAUCUUCAGUGUCGGAUUGAAGGUUCUGAAGUCACUUGGGUGAAUAAUGUGUGCAUGAUGUGAGUAAAUAUCACAACCAGGUUUUUUUUUUGUUUUUUUUAGGUGCUCCUCCCCCUACUUAUAUUUCAUAAUUUGCUUCCAUACUAUUGGUUGGUUUUAUAUAAAUAUACACGUGUUGGGGCUUGUGGGAGGAAAAAAAACAUGGGUUAACAUUUUCUGUUAUAAAAUACGCUUCACUUUAAAAUUCUUGUAAUUUACACUCACUCAUCUACACUUACUAAAUCGUCUACUGAUGGAGAAACCAUUUUCACUGACGCAUAUAUUUCUCAUAUUCCACCACUAGAUGGCAAAAGAGCGCUGUUCUGAGUACACGCCGGGCUUUUUAAACCAUGAUUGAUAUUCCUAUCAAAACUUAUUGAUCGUCUGAUACACGUGUACGCAAUUGUGUAAUAAAAUAGCGUAAAGUCCCAAAAUGUCACCUUUAUCGUCCCCGUGGCCCCAUAAGCUAUUCGUUAAAUUACGCUGAAAAACUUUCAGGUGAAGACCACAUCAAGGGGGAUGGUGGGAGUAAAAGCUUUCAGAAUGCUUUAUGUUCAAACUGUCUGAAAUUACAACACGUAAACACACGCAGUUCAAAAAUACGAUGGAUCGCGG
ensembl:lncRNA